rnacentral:rRNA from 1 species
AUUGAACGCUGGCGGCAGGCCUAACACAUGCAAGUCGAGCGGAGCGGCGGACGGGUGAGUCAUUCCUAGGAAUCUGCCUGGCAGUGGGGGCUAACGUCCGGACACGGGCGCUAAUACCGCAUACUAUCAGAUGAGCCUAGGUCGGAUUAGCUAGUUGGUGGGGUAAAGGCCUACCAAGGCGACAAUCCGUAACUGGUCUGAGAGGGUGACCAGUCACACUGGAACUGAGACACGGUCCAGACUCCUACGGGAGGCAGCAGUGGGGAAUAUUGGACAAUGGGCGAAAGCCUGAUCCAGCCAUGCCGCGGGUGUGAAGAAGGUCUUCGGAUUGUAAAGCACUGUAAGUUGGGAGGCGUUACCAAAAGAAUAAGCACCGGCUAACUUCGUGCCAGCAGCCGCGGUAAUAC